AGCGAACGCUGGCGGCAGGCCUAACACAUGCAAGUCGAACGGAUCCUUCGGGAUUAGUGGCGGACGGGUGAGUAACACGUGGGAACGUGCACUUUGGUUCGGAACAACUCAGGGAAACUUGAGCUAAUACCGGAUGUGCCCUUCGGUGGAAAGAUUUAUCGCCAUUGGAGCGGCCCGCGUCUGAUUAGCUAGUUGGUGAGGUAAAGGCUCACCAAGGCGACGAUCAGUAGCUGGUCUGAGAGGAUGAUCAGCCACAUUGGGACUGAGACACGGCCCAAACUCCUACGGGAGGCAGCAGUGGGGAAUCUUGCGCAAUGGGCGAAAGCCUGACGCAGCCAUGCCGCGUGAAUGAUGAAGGUCUUAGGAUUGUAAAAUUCUUUCACCGGGGACGAUAAUGACGGUACCCGGAGAAGAAGCCCCGGCUAACUUCGUGCCAGCCGCCGCCGUAAGAC
rnacentral:rRNA from 1 species